GGUGGCUAAAAAGCGAAAAACGACACCACCACAAAAGGAGGAGGAGGAAAUAAAGGCAACGGGAAGGAAUGUUUGGGAGACGCGAAAGCGUGUGCGCGCAGGCUUUCCCGUAUUCCGUUCUUAUUUCUGAAUUAGAAGACAAA
ensembl:ncRNA T06F4.8 ncRNA